rnacentral:rRNA from 1 species
AUUGAACGCUGGCGGCAGGCCUAACACAUGCAAGUCGAACGAGUGGCGGACGGGUGAGUAAUGUCUGGGAAACUGCCUGAUGGAGGGGGAUAACUACUGGAAACGGUAGCUAAUACCGCAUACCAUCAGAUGUGCCCAGAUGGGAUUAGCUUGUUGGUGGGGUAACGGCUCACCAAGGCGACGAUCCCUAGCUGGUCUGAGAGGAUGACCAGCCACACUGAAAUGAAAAGACGUACCUAAUGCUUACGGGAGGAAGCAGGGGGGAGAUUUGACCAAUGGGCGCAAGCCGUAUCCGGCAUUGCCGGGUGAAGGAAGAAGGCCUUAGGGUUGUAAGUUCCUUUCAGCGGGGAGGCUUUACCCGCAGAAGAAGCACCGGCUAACUCCGUGCCAGCCGCCGCGGUAAUUC